rnacentral:rRNA from 1 species
CGAUGAAGCCCUGCUUGCAGGGUGGAUUAGUGGCGAACGGGUGAGUAACACGUGAGUAACCUGCCCCCGACUCUGGGAUAAGCCCGGGAAACUGGGUCUAAUACCGGAUAUGACUUCCUACUGCAUGGUGGGUUGUUGAAAGAUUUAUCGGUGGGGGAUGGACUCGCGGCCUAUCAGCUUGUUGGUGAGGUAAUGGCUCACCAAGGCGACGACGGGUAGCCGGCCUGAGAGGGUGACCGGCCACACUGGGACUGAGACACGGCCCAGACUCCUACGGGAGGCAGCAGUGGGGAAUAUUGCACAAUGGGCGGAAGCCUGAUGCAGCGACGCCGCGUGAGGGAUGACGGCCUUCGGGUUGUAAACCUCUUUCAGUAGGGAAGAAGCGAAAGUGACGGUACCUGCAGAAGAAGCGCCGGCUAACUACGUGCCAGCAGCCGCGGUAAUACGUAGGGCGCAAGCGUUAUCCGGAUUUAUUGGGCGUAAAGAGCUCGUAGGCGGUUUGUCGCGUCUGCCGUGAAAGUCCGAGGCUCAACCUCGGAUCUGCGGUGGGUACGGGCAGACUAGAGUGAUGUAGGGGAGACUGGAAUUCCUGGUGUAGCGGUGAAAUGCGCAGAUAUCAGGAGGAACACCGAUGGCGAAGGCAGGUCUCUGGGCAUUUACUGACGCUGAGGAGCGAAAGCAUGGGGAGCGAACAGGAUUAGAUACCCUGGUAGUCCAUGCCGUAAACGUUGGGCACUAGGUGUGGGGGACAUUCCACGUUUUCCGCGCCGUAGCUAACGCAUUAAGUGCCCCGCCUGGGGAGUACGGCCGCAAGGCUAAAACUCAAAGGAAUUGACGGGGGCCCGCACAAGCGGCGGAGCAUGCGGAUUAAUUCGAUGCAACGCGAAGAACCUUACCAAGGCUUGACAUGUGCCAGACCGCUCCAGAGAUGGGGUUUCCCUUCGGGGCUGGUUCACAGGUGGUGCAUGGUUGUCGUCAGCUCGUGUCGUGAGAUGUUGGGUUAAGUCCCGCAACGAGCGCAACCCUCGUUCCAUGUUGCCAGCACGUAGUGGUGGGGACUCAUGGGAGACUGCCGGGGUCAACUCGGAGGAAGGUGGGGA